rnacentral:rRNA from 1 species
GACGAACGCUGGCGGCGUGCUUAACACAUGCAAGUCGAACGGUGAAGCGAGUGCUUGCACUCGUGGAUCAGUGGCGAACGGGUGAGUAACACGUGAGUAACCUGCCCAUCACUCUGGGAUAAGCACUGGAAACGGUGUCUAAUACUGGAUACGACCAACCCUUGCAUGGGGUGUUGGUGGAAAGAUUUAUCGGUGAUGGAUGGACUCGCGGCCUAUCAGCUUGUUGGCGGGGUAAUGGCCCACCAAGGCGACGACGGGUAGCCGGCCGGAGAGGGUGACCGGCCCCCCUGGGCCUGGGACACGGCCCAGACUCCUCCGGGGGGCAGCGGUGGGGAAUAUUGCCCAAUGGGCGAAAGCCUGAUGCAGCGACGCCGGGGGGGGGAUGACGGCCUUCGGGUUGUAAACCCCUUUCAGCAGGGAAGAAGCGAAAGUGACGGUACCUGCAGAAGAAGCCCCGGCCAACUACGU